GUACAUCAAAGAACUCACACAGUUGUAAAACCAUUUGAAUGUAAUGAACGUAGGAAAUCUUUCUACCAGACAUCAAACCUUACUAGUCAUGAGCACACUUCAGGAUUCAUCAGAGAUCUCACAUAAAAGAGAAAACCUAUUAAUGUACAGAUGUCCAUUCAUAUCCACAGGGGAUUGGUUUCAAAAGUUUCCAUACAUACCAAAAUCUGUGGAUGCUCAAGUCGUAUAUGAAGUGGUGAGCUAUUGUAACAUCCUGCUGCACAAUUUCACAUCAUGUCUAGAUUACUUAUAUUACUGAAUACAUUAAAAACAAUAUAAGUAGUUGGGUUUUUUUGGUAUAUUUUGUAUUGCCAUACUUUCUUUUUUUCAAAUAUUUUUGAUCUAUAGUUGGUUGAAUCCAUGAAUGUGGAUCUUGUGGAUAUGGAUGGCUCAUUGUAAUGAAUGUAGAACAUCUUUUGUCAGAAGUCACACCUAAGCAGACAUCAGAGAACUCACAUAAGGGAGAAAUACUGCAUGGCAAAGACUAGCUAUUUUUUUCCAGAAAAAAAAA